CAGGUCCAGGACGCCCAGCCCCUUGUGGAUGCCCACGCCCCACGGAGCCUCAGCCACCUCCACCUGAAACUCAAGAAGCUGAAGCUGGAAGAGGAGCGGCUCGCCACCAUCGACAGGGACAACUGCCUGCUGCUGGCGAAAUUGUCCUGCAUCCUGAGGACCAGGGGCCAGACCGACAGCAGAAACAACUGCACACAGAGGAGGUACCGGGGCCCCUGCUCCCUACAGUCAGCACCAAACCUGGCAGGGCCCAGAGUGUUCCACUCCAGGCCUGCACAGAAGAGCUGCGCCGGAGCCAGAACACGGGGUUCCCAUCCUCCCUGCAGAGAGCCCUGUGCCUUUUCCUCUGUGGACAGGAUCCCACAGGGAGAUUCUCCCAUCUGCUGCCUGGAUUCUCUUUGAAAAACGCAAGUCCCAACCAGCCUGGAGGUAAAUCCAAACCACCAAGUGGCUUCCCCGUCAGGACCUGCCUGAUAUGUCAUACACAGGAAAUGAGGGAAGAAGGAGGGAAAAGAGGAAGCAGAAGUGACCCCGGGGAGGUGCCAGCCAGUCAGAAGCCACAGGAAGUGCCUGAGCUUGAACAAGGGAGCCAGACAGCAGGACUUCAGGAAGCAUAAAAGGAACGCGAGGGGCCAAAGGGGGCCUGUGAAGCCGCCCAGCUCCUCCCACACCAGGAAAUUAUCUCCACAGUCACAUACCACCUCCUUGUCCUGCUUGGAUUUUAAAGCAGUCAAAGACCCCCUUGUGCCCUUCCUACGUAUUUCUCUUUAUUCAACUCUGGGCCGUGUGCUGAGAGCUGAGUGUGGUCGCUUUGCAUGUUCAAACUCAGGAUGAAUGCAGCUUCACUGCUGUGUUGAAGUAGAGAGCACCAAGCUAAAUCACAAGGUAAUGGUAGAAAUGGUGUGUCUCUUUGUGAUUAGUCUAAUGGAGCCCCAGCAGGAAUGAAAGUCAAUGAUUUUUAUCAAGAAUGCAUCAGUUUGGGUGCCUGGGUGGCUCAGUCGGUUAAGUGUCUGCCUUC